ACGGAAGGCAGCAGUGAGGAAUAUUGGUCAAUGGACGAGAGUCUGAACCAGCCAAGUAGCGUGCAGGAUGACGGCCCUCCGGGUUGUAAACUGCUUUUAGUUGGGAAUAAAAGAGGGAACGUGUUCCCUAUUGUAUGUACCAUCAGAAAAAGGACCGGCUAAUUCCGUGCCAGCAGCCGCGGUAAUACGGAAGGUCCGGGCGUUAUCCGGAUUUAUUGGGUUUAAAGGGAGCGUAGGCGGGCCUUUAAGUCAGUGGUAAGAGCGUGUGGCUCAACCAUACCACGCCAUUGAAACUGGAGGCCUUGAGUGCACACAGGGAUGCUGGAAUUCGUCGUGUAGCGGUGAAAUGCUUAGAUAUGACGAAGAACUCCGAUCGCGAAGGCAGGUGUCCGGGGUGUAACUGACGCUGAGGCACGAAAGCAUGGGUAUCAAACAGGAUUAGAUACCCUGGUA
rnacentral:rRNA from 1 species